AACCUGUACGACAAUGUCGGAGUUGCCUAUAUAGCUCAUCUACCAAUUCCUGCACACGAGUCGAAACCACUUAAUGUGGUCUGUACAACAGGCUGGGUAUAAAUAAAUACACUUAAGUGCUACGAUCACGUGAAGACUGUGCGAAGUAUUGCAAGUCACUUACGAGUCGGAACCACCUAAUAUGGUUUGUACGAUAGGCUGACACUUGCCUUGGAUCCAAGGUGAGCAUGUGGUGCAAGAGGUGAACGAUCACAUGAAGGCUAAGCCUCAGGCGGAGCACUAACACCGGGGUGCAGGACAAUGAGCUAUAAAUACAUCUCAACACAAUCAUACUCACUACCAUCAAUAUACUCACAUGAAGCUUACCGGGGCAUCCGCAACAUCAUUUGGCAUAACCACUUUACCGUCCCAACAUUCUUAAUCAGAACUAAACCCAGUGAUAGACUAGAAUAAAAUCAUGGUUAAUCUCUACAUUGUUAAUCAUCAUAACUUCUUUCCUUAAAGAAACCAAGUACCCUGUUAAAUUUGGAUUGUUUUAUGGCUGCAUCUAAUUGUCUUGUUAGACUGCCUACGUACCCUCAAACGGGGUCAAGGCAUUCAUAGUUCAACUUAGUACGUCAAAGCAUUCAUAGUCAUUAUAUGUAGGUAAUAUGCAUAUAGAUAUGCCAUAAUGCAAUCUAACACUCAACCAUAUCAUAGUAUCUUAAACUAUAUAAAUAUAUGUAUAACAUGGCAUAAAUAUGCAUAAAUCAAAUUAAAAGCGUUUGCAGAAUUAUCAAUCAUAUAUAUAUACGAUAAAAGAAAAAGACCCACUCACCUGAGGUCCGUGCUACAACUCCCUAGCAUGAAUAUCAAGACAUCAUCAUCGCCUAGAACAAUUAUCAAAUCACGUCUCAGAGUUUAUAACAAUAGAACACAUAGUUUACGUAAAACACAUCCUUACGUAUCCGGAAGAUCCACAUCACGGAUUUCCGAUCCGUUACUUCCAAAGAUUCACAUUAUAAUUCUAGAACAAUAUCCAAAAGUUUCGGGACAAUCCAACGGUCGGAUCUUCACCAAUUGCCAAAACCAAGUGGCGGUUAACGUUUUAUUUUACGAACUUACAAACCAAAUUCGGAAAGAUCCAUACGUCGGAUUCCUGAUCCGUAAGUUCCUAUAAUCCUCAAAUAUUACGAACAAUAACCUAUUAAAGUUUAAUGAUGAUCCAACGGUCGGAUCGUCGAUUCAUAUAAUGACCUAAUCACGUAUUGUAGAGAAUUUAGGUUCUAACGAUCAACUUGCGUCAUACUAUUGUUAGAACUGAAUUCAAGGCAUCUAAUUUAGCCUAAGAAUAGCAUUGAUGACCCACUGGCCACGUGCCACCGUGGGUGGCGGUCGGCCGUCCCGACUCGCCAGAAAAUCCAACUAUUUCCAAAAAUUCCUAAAUUUUGCAGAAAUGAAGAUCUCUAAGAGUAGAGCAAGUUUAAUACAUGUGAACAAGUCCAAUUUGGUCGGGAAAGGCUCCAAUUUCACUCAAACCCGUCGGAACCCUAAAAUGGGUGAACUUCGAUUCUCCUUCCUCAGUGUUCCAACGCCCCUACAACCAGUUGGGUCUUGUUCUUGGGUCCAAUGGGAGUUAGUUAAGGGUGGUGGUGGGUGGUGAAACUCGCCAAAUUGAAGGAAUCAUCGUCAAAACUUCACGGGUCACUUGCACGGCUUUGGCCUAAAAAAUCUUCAAAGUUAGAUGGAGAUAGAAGAUGGGGUAUUGUGGAAUAGGUUGCAGGUGAGGAAUGGGUGAAAAUGACCUUAAAAUUUGGUGGAAAUUGCUGGAAUUAAAAUCAGGUCGCUGUUGGUUUUGUCCGCAUGAAUGAGUGUCGACGGGAAGGGAUGGGGAAAAUUCCCCUUUUUCUCAUUGGCUAAUGCCUUUUCCUCAUUGGCUGAUGCCUUUUUCCUUCCUUAACAUUAAUUAGUCAGUUUUCCCACAAGGUGAGAGUUUAACACUUUAUAAUCUAAAAUAUAAAUAAUCAAAUUCAAACGUCCGUAAUUAUGCCGUUAUAAUCCGGACUCGCAAAUGGCUUUCGCCUAUGCGUUCGCACCAAAGAGUACUACACAAAUAAGUCUUAUGUUUCUCUAGACGAUGGUAAAUGCAAGUCAAAGUCCUUGCCUCUAGGUUAUUUUCGUCAAUUCCCUCGAUUAAAAUAAAUAAAAACGUAAAUUUAGGGACGGGUUGUCACAGGCUGGCCUAGAAUGGACAGAGGGAAGAGACGGCCUAUCUGACGUCAGCGUGACGUCAGAUAGCUUUUUAUAUUUUUGUUGCGCCAGGUGCGUGGAAAGGACGCUUGACUGGGCACGCAUCGCUGACAACA
rnacentral:lncRNA from 1 species